rnacentral:lncRNA from 1 species
GUCGACACGUCUGGUGGGUGUCGAGACAAGUCGAAGUAGUUUUGGGUUUUAUGUACAUACUGUUAUGUAGUUGUUGUACUCGUUGGAGCGAGGUGUUAUUGUGGACUUUUGUAUGUACAGUGAACCCUUUAUAUUUUAUAUAUUUUUUAGUUCUAGCAGCUUUAUACUCUUAGUUGUAGCUAUGAUUUGAUUACAGGUACAGCUAUCGCUUCGUAUAUACGAAAAAUUUCUAUGUAUACGGCGCGUCUGUUGGC